GACGAAGGGGGCUAGCGUUGUUCGGAAUUACUGGGCGUAAAGCGCGUGUAGGCGGUUAUCCAAGUCAGGUGUGAAAGCCUUGAGCUCAACUCAAGAAAUGCACUCGGUACUGGGUGACUAGAGGACCGGAGAGGAUAGUGGAAUUCCCAGUGUAGUGGUGAAAUACGUAGAGAUUGGGAAGAACACCAGUGGCGAAGGCGGCUAUCUGGACGGUUUCUGACGCUAAGACGCGAAAGCGUGGGGAGCAAACAGG
rnacentral:rRNA from 1 species